CCUACGGGUGGCAGCAGUGAGGAAUAUUGGUCAAUGGACGAGAGUCUGAACCAGCCAAGUAGCGUGAAGGAUGACUGCCCUAUGGGUUGUAAACUUCUUUUAUAUGGGAAUAAACUGUUCCACGUGUGGGAUUUUGUAUGUACCAUAUGAAUAAGGAUCGGCUAACUCCGUGCCAGCAGCCGCGGUAAUACGGAGGAUCCGAGCGUUAUCCGGAUUUAUUGGGUUUAAAGGGAGCGUAGGUGGAUUGUUAAGUCAGUUGUGAAAGUUUGCGGCUCAACCGUAAAAUUGCAGUUGAAACUGGCAGUCUUGAGUACAGUAGAGGUGGGCGGAAUGCGUGGUGUAGCGGUGAAAUGCUUAGAUAUCACGAAGAACUCCGAUUGCGAAGGCAGUUCACUGGACUGCAACUGACACUGAGGCUCGAAAGUGUGGGUAUCAAACAGGAUUAGAUACCCCUGUAGUC
rnacentral:rRNA from 1 species